CAACUCUUAAGACUCACCAGAAAAUUCAUACUGGAGAGAAACCUUACAAAUGUAGGGAAUGUGACAAAUCCUUUACUCAUAACUCACAUCUUCGAAGACAUCAGAGUGUUCAUACUGGAGAGAGACCUUACAAAUGUAAGGACUGUGACAAAUCUUUUACUGAGUGUUCAACUCUUAAAGAACAUCAGAAACUUCAUACUGGAGAAAAAACUUACAAAUGUGGAGAAUGUAGCAAAUCUUUUAGCCAGCAUUCAUAUCUCAGAAGUCAUCUCAGAGUUCACACUGGAGAGAGACCUUACGUAUGUAAGGAAUGUGGCAAAUCUUUUACUACAUGCUCGACUCUUAGGACACAUCAGAAAAUUCAUACUGGAGAGAAACCUUACAAAUGUAGGGAAUGUAACAAAUCGUUUACUCAGGACUCACAUCUUAGAACACAUCACAGAGUUCAUACUGGAGAGAGACCUUACAGUUGUAAGGAAUGUGACAGAUCUUUUACUCGGUGCUCAUAUCUUAGAGCACAUCAGAAAAUUCAUACUGGAGAAAAACCUUACAAAUGCAAAGACUGUGACAUAUCCUUUCUCCGGAUUUCUAGUCUUAGAAUACAUCAGGAAAUUCAUACUGGAGAGAAACCUUACAAAUGCAAAGACUGUGACAUAUCAUUUAACCAGAUUUCAAAUCUCAAAAGACAUCAGAAGCUUCAUACUGGAGAGAAACCUUACAAAUGUAUGGAAUGUGACAAGUCCUUUACUCAGAACUCAAACCUUAGAGCACAUCAGAGAGUUCAUACUGGAGAGAAACCUUACAAAUGCAAAGACUGUGACAAAUCUUUUACUAGGUGCUCCUACCUUAGAGCACAUCAGAAAAUUCAUACUGGAGACAAACCUUACAAAUGUAAAGACUGUGACAAAUCCUUUAUCCACCUUUCAAAUCUUAGAAGACAUCAG
rnacentral:lncRNA from 1 species